rnacentral:rRNA from 1 species
GUCUUUUUGAGUAUAAUUUAAAGUCGGGCCUGCCCAAUGAGGUUGUUUAAUGGCCGCAGUAUCCUGACUGUGCAAAGGUAGCAUAAUCAUUAGUUUCUUAAUUGGGAGCUGGAAUGAAAGGUUUGAUGAAAAAAGAUCUGUCUCUAUUUAAAUUAAUUAAAAUUUUAUUUUUAAGUAAGAAAGCUUAAAUUUUUAUAGAAGACGAGAAGACCCUAUAGAGUUUUACAAAAGGUUAAUUGUGGUAGUUUAGGUAUCAAAAUAUUAUAGUUAUUUUUUUGUUUAAUUGGGGCGAUUGAAAAAUUUAAUAAACUUUUUUUUUAUUUAAUCAUUAAUAAAUGAAUAAUUGAUCCUUAUUAGUUAAGAUUAUAAAAUUAAAUUACCUUAGGGAUAACAGCGUAAUUUUUUUAAGAGUUCUUAUCGAAAAAAAAGAUUGCGACCUCGAUGUUGGAUUAAAAGAAAAUAUUGGUGUAGAAGCUAAUAGAUUUGGUCUGUUCGACCAUUAAAAUUUUACAUGAUCUGAGUUUAAACCGGUGUGAG